rnacentral:rRNA from 1 species
UAGAGUUUGAUCAUGGCUCAGAUUGAACGCUGGCGGCAGGCCUAACACAUGCAAGUCGAACGGUAACAUUUCUAGCUUGCUAGAAGAUGACGAGUGGCGGACGGGUGAGUAAUGCUUGGGAACUUGCCUUUGCGAGGGGGAUAACAGUUGGAAACGACUGCUAAUACCGCAUAAUGUCUUCGGACCAAACGGGGCUUCGGCUCCGGCGCAAAGAGAGGCCCAAGUGAGAUUAGCUAGUUGGUAAGGUAACGGCUUUCCACGGCGACGAUCUCUAGCUGUUCUGAG